CCAUUUUUUCCCAUAAGGCCUGUGGGUUUUAUUGGUUUUUUUCACAGUGUGGUGACUUUCAGGAAUGCAUAUGUGGAAUCAUAGCAGGACUGACUGUUCACAUAAUACCUCUGAGAGGUGACCUAAGCAACCUGUACCUCAGAGAGGUGAUUGGCGGUCAACAGUGUGAAGUUUAAAACUUAACUUUUCCCGGUAUUUUCUCCCCUAAUGUGUUCUCAAAGAGAGAUAGCUUUAAGAAAUAAAGUAACACGAAGCAACCCUUGUGACAAACGAACCCAGAUUUUUGAAACGUUCUGUUUUCAUGGAAGCGUAACUCUGAGAAACUUCUGGAAUAAAGCUAGACACGGAGCAGGAAGAGGACAUCAUUCACAGUUAACAGCUGGAAGGCACGCCGUUCUCAGUCAAGGGUCCUUCCAGAGAGAGGGCAGAUCUCCCAUGUACUGAUGCAUCUUGUGGCAGCCAAGAGACGCAGAACAGACCACCUGCAUGGCUCUCCAUGGAGGGCAAAGUUGGGGAAUUGUGCAGACCAGCCUCCAGUUCCAGGCUUGGCAGUGAAUCUGAGGAAUACUCACCAACUCGUAUUUAAAAAAAAAAAAAAAAAAGCUCUGUUUCCUUCCUGAAUCAAAGGAAAUGCUAUAUCCCUUGGCAGUGCAGCCCGAAUAACUUCAGCGACUCCCACAGUGAUUCAGACACCGCCCCCUACAACAGGCUGUUGUCUUUCCUCCCCUCCCGGUGCCAAGUCCCAGGGUUUGCCCAGCCCGGCUCGGGAGUCCCCAGGCCCAGCUGCUCGGCCCCAGCGAGCCAGACCGGGAGGUGGAUCGGGGCAACCAGCCUGGGGCAAUCUGAAAAAGUCAUCUUCCAGGAAAUUCCAGACACAAGGCGCCCUGUCACCACAGUGAGGGGGACACUCACCAGAAGGGACUGCGUCAAUCCCCUCCUGCAGUCUGAGCACUGUCGGCAUGCAACUCGGCACAGAAGGUUUUGUCAUUUGGACUGUAAUAAAUCCCACUUCCUGAACUCUGUGCCCCUCCGG
rnacentral:lncRNA from 1 species